rnacentral:lncRNA from 1 species
AUUCCUGCAGCGAUCAAGUCAGGAGUGCAGAGGCCGGGAGGCUGACAUCCCCAAGAAGGCGAGGCAGUGUCCUGCACGGCCUUCCUCCCCAGGGACAGAGAGAGGCUCACACAUUUCCAGAGACUCAAGAUGGGCCAGUCACACGACCACAGAGUCCUGACGUGCCCAGCCUUGCACCAGCGCCAAGAACUCUUCGAGAUGAACCCAGGGUCCCGGCCGAGGAUGGGCUGCUGGCCAUCUCAGGGGUACCCUGGCCUCUCGUCUGCUUCCAUGUUCUUCUGUUUCCCUCCUCUGCCUGCUCCCCUAGGAGCCAGAAGGCCGCUGAAGAACGCAGUACUGCGGGUCCCGUCGUGGCUCAGUGGAACAUUGUGUCGGAAGGCAGUAGCCAUCAAAGGCUUUUGGAGAUAAUCUUUCCUUGUGUUUGGAAUGCUGCUGAGUCAUCAUCCCGCAGCUGAGCAUCCCCACGGCAGAGGGGCCUGUGUCUCUUCAGGUGUCCGGAGAGAGACACACGGUCCGAAGACAGUACAAAGGAAGGCCCGCGGGGUUUCCCCGGGUGGACUCUGCUCAUCAGGGUUCAUAACCCGCUCUCGGUCAAGGCCAGAGCGGGGUGGUGGGCUGGGGAGAGAGCAGGCCAGGUGAAGGCAAAUUUGAAAAACUCAGCAACAGUUCCCGUGUGUGAGCUACCCUCACAGUCCUGGCCUCCUGGUUCUGAGCCUGGAGUUUCCUUUAUCUAAACGCACCGUAUGUAUUGUCAUGAGCUGUCUUAUGUGAGCUGGGAAAGACACACAUGUAGACAUAUGUAAAAUCUCUUUCUGGGGUUCCCAUUGUGGCGCAGUGGAAACGAAUCUGACUGGUAUCCACGAGGAUGCAGGUUUGACCCGCUUAGCGAGGCCAGGGAUCUGGCGCUGCUGUGGCUGUGGUGUAGGCCGGCAGCUGGAGCUCCGAUUCGACCCCUAGCCUGGGAACCUCCAUGUGCUGUAAGUGCAGCCCUAAAAAGCAGAAAAAAACAAAACAAAAUGAAAAAACACCUCUUUCCUCCUUUUUUUAAAAAAUUUUUCUUUUUAAGACUUCUUAUUUUUUUUAAAAAAGCCACAAUACUUGUGUCUAGACAGAACCUUAGACACUGUUUGCUUCUGAUCCUGGCCUGGGAUUUUCUAGGAGAGCACUGUGGCUCUUCUUGGGAUAAAUGCUUUUUUUGGUUGUUUUUUUAAAAGUGAUUUUCAUAGCCUGGUUUACAGCUACUCGGAGCUAAGGAUUCUAAAAAGCAGAAAGAAAAAAGCAACGGACAACUUGGCUGUCGGGAGGCUGUGGGAUGGGGGCGGGGGGUGGCGGGGCGCUGAAGUUUUAUACUCCCCGGAUUCCAGGAAGGCAAUUUCACAGCCAGACCAGUUGCUGGAAACCGCUGGAGCUGCAAUUAUCUUCAAACCACCUCCAAGUCUAAGCACUAAAGGCUACCAUCCCUGUCUACUGUGUACCCACUUCCGCAGCCUCCCUCUGCAAGCCAGGGCCCAUCCAGCCAACUCAUCUUCCGGGACCAGGGGUCCACCCCCCUCCCCAGAGACGGACAGAGAGGCUGGGGGAAGCCGAGGGACAAACAGCCCCGAUCAAGCAGGCCGAGAGCCACGCUCUCCUUCCUCCUCCUGAUUUUUCUCCAACGCCCAUUCUCAGCGCUGGCUCUGGGCAGGCGUGGGAACAGAGGGACAAAUACCCCACACGGGGCCCCUGUCUUUGACGACUGUGGGAGACAGUCAUGGAGCAUGUGACCACGCCGUGGGCUCUGUGCCCCUGCGAGGGGACGUGCUGUGUGACUGGACCUUGGGGUCAGGCAGGAGGAAGGCCUGGAGCGGCUGGGUGAGGAGCAGGUGGCGGUGGGGAAGGGCUGGCAGGUAGGAGGCCCGGGGCCAGGGGGUGGGGGUGGAGGUGGACAACGGGGCUCUUGCCUUUCCCUUCUUUCCAUCCUCCUCCUCCUCAAAAGACACCCCCCCCCAACUUCAAAUGAGAGUUGACGGAGUUCUCGUCGUGGUGUAGUGGAAACAGAUCCAACUAGGAACCAUGAGGUUUCGGGUUCGAUUCCUGGCCUCGCUCUGUGGGUUAAGGAUCUGGCGUUGCCAUGAGCUGUGAUGUGGGUUGCAGGUGUGGCUCGGAUCUGGCGUUGCUGUGGCUGUGGUGUAGGCCAGCGGCUGUAGCUCUGAUUAGACUCCUAGCCUGGGAACCUCCAUAUGCCACGGGUGUGGCCUUAAAAAAAAAAAAAUGACCUUUCUAGACUCUAAAGAAUCACUGGUAACCCCUCAAGCGCCAGUUUGUGCUCAUUAGGUAGAGGAAGAGAAAACAUCUUUUUUUGGGGGGGGAGGUCCAAUUUCUGUUUUCAGAAGAUGAUACGGGAGCCAAACCAUUUCACUAACCUCGUUCUUCAUUGUUCUUCCCGCCACGCCACCUUCUCCAAAAGCAGAUGGCUAAGGUAGGACAUGGCCCUGGAGUCACCCUGAGUCGCAUACACGCUCACUGGGCAGUUCUUAAAACUAGCCCCUCGGGCAAGUUUCUAAGUUUUCUCUCCUCCUGGUCUGACAACCAAUGAUUCUCAGGAGGCAGGGCCCUCCUCCUGGGCUCUGAGGUUCUCAGGUGUGGGGGCCACACUCCCCCGGGGCAUCUCAGAACCGCACUUGGAGCGCCCGCGAAAUGCUCCUUUGCUUCCGUGGUUGGAGGCCAGGUCUCACAGGAACCAUCCCAGCCCCGCUCCCCCUCCCUACCUGGUGGUCUCGCCACUGUCCAGGGCCCGGGGCAGCUCCCUCGGCUGGCUCGGGGGCCCUGCUGGGGGCAGGCGAGCCUCUCCCUGACGUCCUGCUGGCAACCACUCUCCAGGCUUGGCAUCGACGGCGGCUGGGGAGGAGGAGAGAGAGCUCCGUUGACUUCUGCUCUGGAAGCCCUUUGAGGAUGCUCUGGACGGGGCUGGGCCGUGAAGCCAAGAAAAGCACACAACCCAGGCCAGGCCCUGACGGCUCCCCGGCGCCUAUGGACGGGGACUUGUUUACUUGUGCAGCUUUUGGGACCUUGCCAGACGGGCACUGAAUGCACUCAUCACCUGAGGGGGCAAUGGGCAUGCGCUGGCAGGAGCACGCGCAGCGCAGGAAGCGGAGACCACGGUCCCUGCUGCCCUCCGUGCCCCCACGCCACCCCCCAGGGAAAAACCAACACAACCCAGACUCGUGAUCUGGGCCCCGGCUCAGCACCGCCACACGGCGCCAUAGAGGCACACUGAGAAACUAUUCAAGUUCAUCUGAAACUCAAGUUCAAGGUGAGGCUCUCUUCACCCUGAGCUGCCACAGGAUCCUUCAGGCCUGAAUCCCUCAGUCUUCCACAGGGGCAGAAACAUCUCUGAUGUCAACGAGCAGGGACAGGUCAGCUGGGUCAUCCCGAAGAUCUCGGGGGCGACGGGGGUGGUCCCAGGUGACACUGCCGAGAAUCCCUCCCAAGGGUCAGGGGACAGGCCUGUUCCGUAUUUCAGAUGACAUGGACCCCUCCUCCUCCAGCCCCGCCUCUCCUCUCCUCGUGCUACCGCAAAAGGGGGUCCAGGUCCCUGUCACAGCGACACUGUGACAGAGUCUGGACACACUGCUUCCUCAAUCCAAGCUCCUUGCAGCUCCUUCAUUAAAAAAAGAAUAAAAUAAA